rnacentral:rRNA from 1 species
AGAGUUUGAUCCUGGCUCAGAACGAACGCUGGCGGCAGGCCUAACACAUGCAAGUCGAACGAAGCCUUCGGGCUUAGUGGCGGACGGGUUAGUAACGCGUGGGAACGUGCCUUUCACUACGGAAUAGUCCCGGGAAACUGGGUUUAAUACCGUAUACGCCCUUCGGGGGAAAGAAUUUCGGUGAAAGAUCGGCCCGCGUUAGAUUAGGUAGUUGGUGGGGUAAUGGCCUACCAAGCCUACGAUCUAUAGCUGGUUUUAGAGGAUGAUCAGCAACACUGGGACUGAGACACGGCCCAGACUCCUACGGGAGGCAGCAGUGGGGAAUCUUGGACAAUGGGCGCAAGCCUGAUCCAGCCAUGCCGCGUGAGUGAUGAAGGCCUUAGGGUCGUAAAGCUCUUUCGCCAGGGAUGAUAAUGACAGUACCUGGUAAAGAAACCCCGGCUAACUCCGUGCCAGCAGCCGCGGUAAUACGGAGGGGGUUAGCGUUGUUCGGAAUUACUGGGCGUAAAGCGCGCGUAGGCGGAUUGGAAAGUUGGGGGUGAAAUCCCGGGGCUCAACCCCGGAACGGCCUCCAAAACUCCCAGUCUUGAGUUCGAGAGAGGUGAGUGGAAUUCCGAGUGUAGAGGUGAAAUUCGUAGAUAUUCGGAGGAACACCAGUGGCGAAGGCGGCUCACUGGCUCGAUACUGACGCUGAGGUGCGAAAGUGUGGGGAGCAAACAGGAUUAGAUACCCUGGUAGUCCACACCGUAAACGAUGAAUGCCAGUCGUCGGAUAGCAUGCUAUUCGGUGACACACCUAACGGAUUAAGCAUUCCGCCUCGGGGGUCC